AUUUGGUUGGCUUGUGAAGCCAAUUGGAUUGGAGUUCAUCCUACUUUCCUACGGUAUCUAGCGUGCAUGCGAAGUAGAGGAUCUACACAUCUAGGCCUUCAUGAAGGUUUAAUCUAGAUAAAUUGAGAUUUGAUCUUUGGUUCUACUACUAAUUAGGUAAAAUUUUGAUCCUUAAUCAUGUAGAUGAAUAGAAAAGUUUUUAGAUGCAACCUGG
rnacentral:lncRNA from 1 species